rnacentral:rRNA from 1 species
AUUGAACGCUGGCGGCAGGCCUAAGACAUGCAAGUUGAACGGUAAAGACACUAGCUUGCUAGUGGUCGACGAGUGGCGGACGGGUGAGUAACGCGUAGGAAUCUACCUAGUAGUGGGGGAUAGCCAAGGGAAACUUUGGGUAAUACCGCAUACGAUCUAAGGAUGAAAGGGGGCCUCUCUUUGAAGCUCUCGCUAUUAGAUGAGCCUGCGUAAGAUUAGCUUGUUGGUGGGGUAAUGGCCCACCAAGGCGACGAUCUUUAGCUGGUCUGAGAGGAUGAUCAGUCACACUGGAACUGAGACACGGUCCAGACUCCUACGGGAGGCAGCAGUCGGGAAUAUUGGACAAUGGGGGAAACCCUGAUCCAGCCAUGCCGCGUGUGUGAAGAAGGCCCUAGGGUUGUAAAGCACUUUUAGUAGUGAGGAAGGCUCAGUAGUUAAUACCUACUGGGAUUGACGUUAGCUACAGAAAAAGCACCGGCUAAUUUCGUGCCAGCAGCCGCGGUAAUACGAAAGGUGCAAGCGUUAAUCGGAAUUACUGGGCGUAAAGCGCGCGUAGGCGGCUUGGUAAGUUGGAUGUGAAAGCCCCGGGCUCAACCUGGGAACUGCAUCCAAAACUGCCUAGCUAGAGUAUGGUAGAGGAUGGCGGAAUUUCCUGUGUAGCGGUGAAAUGCGUAGAUAUAGGAAGGAACAUCAGUGGCGAAGGCGGCCAUCUGGACCAAUACUGA